AUUGAACGCUAGCGGCAUGCUUUACACAUGCAAGUCGAACGAGUGGCGGACGGGUGAGUAAUGUAUCGGAACGUGCCCAGUAGCGGGGGAUAACUACUCGAAACAGUGGCUAAUACCGCCUACUAUUGGAUCCGCCGCUAUAGGAUUAGCUAGUUGGUGGGGUAAAGGCGCACGAAGGCCACGAUCCAUAGCUGGUUUGAGAGGACGACCAGCCACACUGGGACUGAGCCACGGCCCAGAUGCAUACGGGAGGCAGCAGUGGGGAAUUUUGGACAAGGGGGGAAACCCUGAUGCAGCCAUGCCGCGUGUAUGAGAAGGCCUUCGGGUUGUAAAGUACUUUCGGCAGAGAAGCGGUAUCUGCAGAAGAAGCACCGGCUAACUCCGUGCCAGCAGCCGCGGUAAUUC
rnacentral:rRNA from 1 species